UCUUACAGGUGAGCAAAGAAAGUGGUUUCUUGAGAUAGAAUCUACUCUUGGUGAGGAAAUUGUCAA
rnacentral:pre_miRNA from 1 species